AUGGACGCCACCCCCGUCGCCACACGCCUCCGCCGCUCCACCCCCGAGCACGACGCCUACACCGUCCGCGUCGCCGACCGCCGCCUCGUCGCCCUCGCCACCGGCCAUCCGGCCGACGCGCGCCGCUGGAUCUACACCACCCGCUGGCUCCACGAGGCCCUCCUCCGCUCCGGCCGCCUCGUCGUCCAGUGGACCCCCGUCCGCGGCCGCGGGGAAGGGCCGCAGACGCCGCCGCCGGCCACCCUGCAACUCUGCGCGGGCCACCGCUGCCUCGUCUUCCACCUCGCCCAGGUCGACGCCGAAGCCGUCCCCGCCGUGCUCUACCGCUUCCUCGCCGACCCGCGCGUCGUCUUCGUGGGCUACGGCUCCUCGUACGACCGCCGGAUGCUGUGGGAUCACUACGGCCUGGACGUCGCGUCCGCGUGCGACCUGCGCGCGCUCACCGGCAUGGGUAACGCCUCCGUGGAGCUAAUGGCGCAGCGCUUCCUCGGCUACCGCGGGAUCAGCAAGCCCAGGGACGUGGCCAUGAGCGCGUGGCACGCUCCCAGGCUCUCCGCCGAGCAGGUGGAGUACGCCUGCGUUGACGCCUACCUCGCCUUCCGCCUCGGCCUCCUCCUCUGCCCCGGCGGCUACCAGCCCGUACAGCGCGCCCCUGCUUUUCCCCGCGCGCCUCCACGCGCUCCGGUGAUCGCCCACGCGCCUCCUCCCGCCCCUGCGUUCCUCGAGCUCCACCGCGCGCCGGGUCCUGCUCUGGUGCGCCCCCGCGCACCGCCUCCCGCCCCACGCGCUCCGGUGCGCCCCCGCGCGCCUCCUCCCGCACCGCGCGCUCUCAUGAUCCCGCGCGCUCAGCCUCCCGCCCCACGCGCUCCGGUGCGCCCCCGCGCGCCCCCUCCCGCACGGCGCGCCAUCAUGGUCCCGCGCGCUCUGCCUCCCGCUCCACGCGCUCCGGUGACCCCGUGCUUGCUGUCUCCCACCCGACGCGCAGCCGUGAACCCCCACACUCCCGAGCCGCACCUGGCGUUGGCGCCGACGGCGGUGGCUGUGGACACGGCCGAGAGCAGCAGCAAGGUCGCGGCCCUCCCCGGAUUCACUGGAUCGGACACGGAUGCAGAGCUCGGCGGCCUCGGUUUGGUCCGUUCGAACUACGUCUACGCUUCUGAUGACGACGACGGUCUCUCUUCAGAUGGGUACGAGGUCGUGGGACGUGGAGCUGUCACCGACGAGGAUGAGGAAGAGGAGGAUGUCUACGACUACGUCGCCAGGACCGGACUUCUCAGUGACGGUGACUACGUCGUCGGGCCAGGAAUUCAGAGCGACGAGGACGAGGAGGAUGGCUACGAAGGCUACUUCCUCGGCACCGGAACUCUCAAUGCUGAAGACGUCGGGGAGCAGGGCUACGCCUACAAGGAGUACGCCGGGAUUGGAAUUCUCACCGUCGAGGAGGGCCACAAUGAGUACACCGGCAUCCUCACCGUUGGCAACGAGGCGGCGGCUUACGAGGAUGAAGUGUUCGUCAGCAACCUACAUGCCACGGUUGUGGAGGUGGAGGUGGAGGAAAGUGGCCUGCAGCUGGAUGUUUACCAAGAACCACCGGAGUGCUACGACAACAGCAUCGAGGCGUUCCAGGUCGGCGAUGAUGGGUAUGGCCAGGACGACGGCGGCGACUGGUAUGAUCAGGGGGACGACGGGUAUGUGCAGGAUGAUGAUAGCUAUGAUGCGUUCUACUAG
rnacentral:rRNA from 1 species